UACGAGGGGGGCAAGCGUUGUUCGGAAUUAUUGGGCGUAAAGGGCGCGUAGGCGGUGCGGUAAGUCACCUGUGAAAACUCUGGGCUCAACUCAGAGCCUGCAGGCGAAACUGCCGUGCUGGAGUGUGGGAGAGGUGCGUGGAAUUCCCGGUGUAGCGGUGAAAUGCGUAGAUAUUGGGAGGAACACCAGUGGCGAAGGCGGCUCGCUGGACCGGUUCUGACGCUGAGGCGCGAAAGCGUGGGGAGCAAACGGG
rnacentral:rRNA from 1 species